AAGUUUGAAAAUAAGCUGUGUUGAUCAUAUAGUUACGAUAGACUUUACAAGCCAAUUUUUUUUUUUUUUUUUUUUUUGGUAAAAAAUUUACAUGCAUGUAUCGAUCGAUCUAAUUAUUUCGACGACUUACAUACAUGAGAACAAUGAACACUAGAUUGCGACGAAACAAAGAUUUGAAAUUGUAGAAUGAGAGGAUCUAAUUAGCAGUUUAAAAAGUAGUGGACUGCUUCAAAGAUGCUAUAAAUCUUGUAAUCAAACUUUAUCUCGACCCAUUAAUUUCAUCGUUAGAUUACGUAUAUUUUGUCGCCAAGUAUAGAGUUUUGAUUAUAUUUUAAAACAAAAUUUCCACUCACACAAACCGCCCAUGAAUUCCUGAUAAUCAUAAGAUUAUUGAUGUAGAAAUUUAUACGCAAAUAAAAUGAUUACAUUGUUGAAUACACUGUGCUAAAAUACUCUCUUUCAGUUAUAAAAUCUUUUCAAUAAUGAUGCUCUUAUGAAUCUUUCGUAAUUAAGACCAUCAAGUCAUAUAAGUUUGGCAGGGCUAGUAUCUAUAGUAUACGUAUAUGGCAUCAAAACAAACAUAUUUGAUGAACAAACAUAGUGAUACAUUGUCUCAAAUAUCUUAUAUCUGAACACAUGUAGUUAUAUGUAUAUAAAUUGUUAUGCUUAUAAAUAUGUAAUUAUAAAAGACCUCUUAACGCGAAAAAACAAGUCACCAAAACAGAUCCUAUGCAGGACUCGAUGUCCGUAUUCUGCAAGUUGACUGAUAGAUCAUCGUAUCCAACGGAGAGAAAACAAUUUGAUCUUUUGUCUUUCUGUUAUUUUUUCUUAAUUAUAUUAAUUUUGAAAACGUCAAUCAUAUUACUUUAUAAAAAGUUUUCAAUAAUAUCAUAAUAGUGGGAGAAUUCACGAGAAUACUGAGUACAAAAAAAAAGAAGAUGAAACUGAAAUAUCACGAGGUCGUCGUUUAUGUAUUUCCCUUUCUAUGAAAUAGAUUUGGACUUUUCCUGAAGGCAACUCAAAAGUGCCAAACAAGUGGUCCUCCAAAUAUUUGAGGAACAGUUUGUUCAAAACCAUAAACAACAAGUUUGGUCUUUACCAUCUUUUAUAAAUUACAGCUUAAAACAGAACUAUAGAGAAGGUUCUAUGAAUCUGAUCUAUUGUUAUUGGUCGCUCCGAAUAUUUUGAUUUUUCGUAAGAAUAUUUUUUCUUGUAUAUAUAUACAUUGUGUCAAUAAUAUCCCGAUUGAACAACGAGAAUAUUAAUCUCAAUCACCUAAGCUACAAAUCAUCUAGUAAUUUAAUGUAAAAAUUAAAUUUUAAUUACAAAAAUAGUUUUUAGAACUCAUGCAUGCAUGUCGGUAUUUUAUUUUUGCAUUGGUAGAAUAAUUUGAAUACAGUACUAGAAGAAAUAUUUGUGUUUGCAAGGGCAUUUAGUUUUCAUGUUUGCAUUUAUUAAGUUUUCCUUUCAACGUUUUGUAUUUGCACAUUUGUUGGGUAUAUGUCUAACAUUUUGAGUGUAUUUGCGUCUGAGUUCGCAUAUCACGUGUUCGUAUUCCCUUUUUGUUCGUGUUUGUAUUUGUAUUCACAUUUGUAGCGUUUGUAAUCAUCUAUUUUAUAUAUAGCGUAUGCAUCCAUGCUUCUUGUUAAUUAUUUGCAUAAAUUGUAUUCACCAUUCGCGUUUACGUCUAAAAUGGAUGUUUUCGUUAAUGUUUGCAUUCACAAAAAAACAUAGCGAUAUAUAUCUUGUAACUAUAUGAAUACGAUUCUAUAAUCCAAACCCUCUAAUUAAGCUGACUUGAGUCCACAUAUUUUAUAUCGCAGUUUGUAAGCCAGAAAUGCCAUUUAUAACAUUUUGUUUUCUCCUUAAAAUGAGAUUAUAAUCCUCUUAAGUAAUAAUUUUAUAAAGACACUAUCUACCUUUGCUUUGACAUAUUGACGAGUCACACGCACAAAAUCAAGUCGGCAGAGUGAGCUUUGUACGCACAAAAUCAAGUCGGCAGAGUGAGCUUUGUCUGUGAAUCAUCAUCGUGUUUGUUUUUCUUCUUCUUUUUUGUUAUUGGAACUUGUGUUGUGUGUAGUAUAAUCUAGCAACAAUAAUGAAACGAAACUUUAUCCUAAGAAAAAAACAAUAAUGAAACAAAACAUUUUGCGCCACUGCUUUUGUAUUUCUUUUCUAAAAAUCGAAACUGAAAAAUGUUUAUGGCCGAGAAAAAUCAGAACAUGGGUCGAUUUUGGGAAAAGUAGAAUUAAACAGUGGCUACAGUUGGUAAAUACAGUGAACUGUCCUUGGUUAGAGGGUCCAUAUAACUCAUUACAAAAUUUGACUUAGAGUAACUACUGAUUAAGAAUAUGUUAAUGUACACUAAUUUUAUUUAUAGUGACAUACCGCUGACAUUGUCUCAUUGAUGUAAACUAGUAUAUGCUUCUUGUACAGUUAUUUUACAUUGAAAAGUAUCUCCAUUAUUUUCCAGUUACUUUAAAGUUUAAACUAGUAUUAAAUUAAAAGAAUUGACCUAAUGGGUCAUGUUGCAGUUGCAUAGAAUUGUUGGCCCAUUACAUACAUGUUCAGCCGAAAACAUUUGAGUUAGCUCCCUUUACAAUGUAAUUUUAUUGGGCCACUUUCAGGUUCGGCCCACUAGGCAUUAGAGUUAGAGACAUAUAACACCAAACAAUUAUAUAAAACGUGGACGUGCGAUAAGAUUAAUAAAACGAUGCCGUCCGUCAUAAAUAAUCACAAGAUCUGAUAAAUCACGUUAAGAUGAUGAUUGAAGUCGCCGCAAAUUAAACAUUUUAAACGAAAAUAAGAAUAUUCCAAUUCAUAGACGCAAAUCUGAAAUCCCUAGAAACUCCGAAUUGACAACAACAUUCACACGAAAUUUUUAGCCGCCGAAUCCGUAGAGAGUGCGUCCUUGUCUCUUGAGAGCGUAGACGACGUCCAUCGCCGUGACUGUCUUCCGGCGAGCGUGCUCCGUGUAAGUAACGGCGUCACGAAUCACGUUCUCGAGAAAGAUCUUGAGAACGCCGCGGGUCUCCUCGUAGAUCAAACCACUGAUACGCUUCACGCCUCCUCUUCUGGCGAGACGACGAAUCGCAGGUUUCGUAAUCCCUUGGAUGUUGUCUCUUAGAACUUUCCGAUGCCUCUUGGCUCCUCCUUUACCCAAUCCUUUUCCUCCCUUUCCUCGGCCUGACAUUUUCUCCGGAAAAUUUAAAACUCCAACUGAGAAAUUAAAUGAUUCUUUGGUAUUGCGAAGUAUCGAUUUAUUUUGGUUAAGGAUGGGGAGGCUUAUUAUAUACGAAUGAGACAAGAGGACGGACAAGUGCUUUGUGGUUUUUUAAAAAAGGUUGGGAGGUUUUGAGUCGUUGGAUCUUGUUUUAUCGACGGUUGUUAGCAUCUAUCCGCGUGAAUGUAAUUUAAUGAAUUGUGAACCGUUAGAUGUUUUUGCUAUCCGCGUCAUAAAUUUUUUAUUAGAUCUGAGCCGUCGAUCUGGUCAUUCGCAAAAUUGGUAAGACGAAAAAAUUACACGCGGGGAAUUCUGAUUUCUGAUGUUAAGCGCGCGCUCAGGGAAAGUUUUGUUUCUUUUUCACGAACGUAUUUGUUCUUUUUGGUUACACUGUACUGUACUACUGUCUGUGUGAUUAAGGAGUUCGUUGUGUGUUUAAUGAGAAUCAAUAUUUACAUGUUAAGAAAAUUGUACCAUGAAAACAUCAUGAGCCAAGACUUUAGUAUCACAUAAACUUGUUAUGUGAAGGAUUAAUGUGCCCAUUGAUUGAUCUCUCUAUCGUUUUAUGAAUGUUAUAGUUAUAGAUUGCACCAAAUUGGUUGGUCAAGCUUAGUAUGAUUGGCAAUUGACGAUGUGGCGAAUGAUAUAUAUACAAAAGGCAAUCUUGUAUAUUUUUAGCUUUUUAAAACAUGUGUUAAGAAGAAUUAAAUGAUCAAAAUAGGAGGCAACAAGUUUAAACGCACAAUCACUUGUCUUGAACUGGGGUAAAAGACUCUUUAAAUCCAAAAUUCUAACAAAACAUAUUAUAAGGGGAAGCUGAAGAAUCAUAUUAUGGUAUUGCAAUAAGAAUGACAAAAUGCUGAUGCUCACUUCUUCUUCUC
rnacentral:lncRNA from 1 species